rfam:Aedes albopictus isolate Foshan contig53753, whole genome shotgun sequence.
UGUUCUAUGGUUUAGUUGGUUAAAGCGCCGGUCUAGCGAAUACGGAGUCGUGGGUUCGAAUCCCACCAAAACGU